rnacentral:rRNA from 1 species
UACGGAGGAUCAAGCGUUAUCCGGAAUCAUUGGGUUUAAAGGGUCCGUAGGCGGUUUGGUAAGUCAGUGGUGAAAGCCCAUCGCUCAACGGUGGAACGGCCAUUGAUACUGCCAGACUUGAAUUAUUAGGAAGUAACUAGAAUAUGUAGUGUAGCGGUGAAAUGCUUAGAGAUUACAUGGAAUACCAAUUGCGAAGGCAGGUUACUACUAAUGGAUUGACGCUGAUGGACGAAAGCGUGGGUAGCGAACAGG